rfam:Triticum urartu cultivar G1812 contig259255, whole genome shotgun sequence.
CAUAUACUUCCUUCGUUCGGAAUUACUUGUCUCGGAAAUAGAUGUAUCUAGAACUAAAAUACGUCUAGAUACAUUCAUUUUUGCGACAAGUAAUUCCGAACCAAGGAAGUACAUC